GGGGGGAAGUUCAACUAGCAAGAACUGCUAAUUCCUGCAUCUGAGCCUAAACCCUCAGUCCCCUCA
rnacentral:tRNA from 1 species